GGAACUUGCCUGAGAUCACACACGAGUCCCCCUCUCUCCACCCUGGGGGGACUCUUGUGUGACCUCCGGCAAGUUCUAG